CACGUAGGGCGCGAGCGUUGCCCGGAAUUAUUGGGCGUAAAGAGCUCGUAGGCGGCCUGUUGCGUCCGCUGUGAAAGCCCGGGGCUUAACCCCGGGUCGGCAGUGGAUACGGGCAGGCUAGAGGUAGGUAGGGGAGAAUGGAAUUCCCGGUGUAGCGGUGAAAUGCGCAGAUAUCGGGAGGAACACCGGUGGCGAAGGCGGUUCUCUGGGCCUUACCUGACGCUGAGGAGCGAAAGCGUGGGGAGCGAACAGG
rnacentral:rRNA from 1 species